GGAGGUAGUGACAAUAAAUCACAAUGCGGGACUAUUUAGUUUUGCAAUUGAAUUGAGAACAAUGUACAAGAGUUAUCGAUAAACAAUUGGAGGGCAAGUCUGGUGCCAGCAGCCGCGGUAAUUCCAGCUCCAAUAGCGUAUAUUAACGUUGUUGCAGUUAAAAAGCUCGUAGUUGAAGUGUGGGAUAAUGUAUAUUGGAUCUUUUUGUGAAGGUAUAUGUUGUCCCCCCUCCAAUUUCGGUCUGUGGGUAUUCAUUUACUUGCAGUUCGUGUUGGUCAUUUACUGUGAGAAAAUUAGAGUGUUCAAAGCAGGCAUUUGCUUGAAUAUAUUAGCAUGGAAUAAUAUUAAAAGGCUUGUAUGGUCGAUUUAAUUGGUUUGUUCAUAUAAGCAAGAUUAAUAGGGACAGUUGGGGGUAUUCAUAUUCAAUAGUUAGAGGUGAAAUUCUCGGAUUUAUGGAAGAUGAACAAGUGCGAAAGCA
rnacentral:rRNA from 1 species